UGGAAGCCCGCCCUACUCACUAACCGACCAACCACAAGUUGGAGCGCAUGCCCUGCUCUCUGACUGACAGCUGUCUGACAGAACAGUGGAGGGCUGGGCCAUGCUUAGUUACUGACACAAGUCCAAGGCAGUGCCUGCCCCAGCAGCUGACUGACAGACAGAGCAGGUGACGCCUGUACUCUGCGCUCAGACUGACAGACUGACUGACUGACUGACUGACUGGGCACUCUGCUAACGGGGGCCCUAUUCGCCUCUCCCCACCGGACCCUGACGACCCCCAAAACUAUGCUUCCGCCUACGAUCUUGAAACUGGCGAUGUCUGAAGCCAGUGGUGCAGACAGCAUAGGGAACCCGACGUGGGCUCAUUCUGGAUCGUGGGGCCAGCCUCAGAAGGUGAAGCCAUGAGGGACCCACUUCUCAGGCUUCGGAAGGGCUGAAGGGACAGCUCAACCCUUCUGUCAUCUGAGGACACCC
rnacentral:lncRNA from 1 species